AUUGAACGCUGGCGGCAUGCCUUACACAUGCAAGUCGAACGGUAACAGGGAGCUUGCUCCGCUGACGAGUGGCGAACGGGUGAGUAAAGUAUCGGAACGUACCUUUCAGUGGGGGAUAACGCAGCGAAAGUUACGCUAAUACCGCAUAUUCUGUGAGCAGGAAAGCAGGGGAUCGCAAGACCUUGCGCUGAUUGAGCGGCCGAUAUCAGAUUAGCUAGUUGGUGAGGUAAAGGCUCACCAAGCCAACGAUCUGUAGCUGGUCUGAGAGGACGACCAGCCACACUGGAACUGAGACACGGUCCAGACUCCUACGGGAGGCAGCAGUGGGGAAUUUUGGACAAUGGACGCAAGUCUGAUCCAGCCAUUCCGCGUGCAGGAUGAAGGCCCUCGGGUUGUAAACUGCUUUUGUACGGAACGAAAAGGUUUCUAUUAAUACUAGGAGCUCAUGACGGUACCGUAAGAAUAAGCACCGGCUAACUACGUGCC
rnacentral:rRNA from 1 species